GGAACGAGGGUUAGGGUUUAUGCGCACCCAAGUUCUACUGCAGCGUCGUCGUGCUCGCUUUGCGGCCGCGCCGAGGCAUGAAAAUGGGAUGCGUACCAGGUGACCCAAGAGCAAGGAUGGUAUCACGAAGAAGAGGAGUGCCGCCUCUAGUUUUCCAUAGCACAAUCCUGACGAACGAGCCAUAAGUGGUGGCCUGUGAGUGCUGCAAAGAGAGGCCCGACUGCCCAAACCGCAGCGGGAUUCUCCACAACGAAUUCCACCAGACCCCUGUCAGCUGGAGUGGCGAAGUUGGAUGCUA